rnacentral:rRNA from 1 species
UACGAGGGGGGCGAGCGUUGUUCUGAAUUAUUGGGCGUAAAGGGCGCGUAGGCGGUUGGAUAAGUUUUGUGUGAAAUCUUCGGGCUCAACUCGAAGUCUGCACGAGAAACUAUCUGGCUUGAGUGUGGGAGAGGUGAGUGGAAUUCCUGGUGUAGCGGUGAAAUGCGUAGAUAUCAGGAGGAACACCUGUGGCGAAAGCGGCUCACUGGACCACAACUGACGCUGAGGCGCGAAAGCUAGGGGAGCAAACAGG